CCUACGGGAGACAGCAGUGAGGAAUAUUGGUCAAUGGACGAGAGUCUGAACCAGCCAAGUAGCGUGAAGGAUGACUGCCCUAUGGGUUGUAAACUUCUUUUAUAAAGGAAUAAAACGAGGCACGUGUGCCUUUUUGCAUGUACUUUAUGAAUAAGGAUCGGCUAACUCCGUGCCAGCAGCCGCGGUAAUACGGAGGAUCCGAGCGUUAUCCGGAUUUAUUGGGUUUAAAGGGAGCGUAGAUGGGUUGUUAAGUCAGUUGUGAAAGUUUGCGGCUCAACCGUAAAAUUGCAUUUGAUACUGGCAGUCGUGAGUACAGUUGAGGUAGGCGGAAUUCGUGGUGUAGCGGUGAAAUGCUUAGAUAUCACGAAGAACCCCGAUUGCGAAGGCAGCUUACUAAACUGUGACUGACAUUGAUGCUCGAAAGUGUGGGUAUCAAACAGGAUUAGAUACCCGGGUAGUC
rnacentral:rRNA from 1 species